GUCCCAUGCCAAAUCUGAAUUAUUUGUGUGUUUGAAUAUUAAAAAUAUUUACUAAAAUUUCAAUGGCUUGCUUGGUUUAAGGAUCAUUUACAGCAUUACGCUUUCGAUUCUCAAUUUUAGUA